UCAAGUUACAAACUCUAAUCUAAUCCAAUGCAGUUGCUUGGGAUGUUAGGAAUCCUACAAGUGAUCCAAUUGCUCCCAAUUCUUUGGAUUAUUCAAAUUAUUCCCUGGAUUAUCUUCAUCCAACCAUGCCUGGCCAGCCCUAGAGAGAGAAUAAUAGGGGGGAGUGUUGUAUCCGGGGAUGAAAGACCUCCUGUUAUGGGAAUCUUCAACUUCCAGCCAAGUUCUUCUGUAAAAUGCAGUUGUUCUGUUAUAUCAGCAAAGUGGGCAGUGUCAGCAGCCCACUGCAUUGUGGAAAAAGAGCAUUUUAUAAAUGGUUCUUGCAUGGAAGAAGCUACCAUGGUUAAGUUUCUAACUGUUUGUGAACAGCUGCCAAACGGAGACACUAAGCUAAUUUUUCCAACCCAGAAAGAACAAACUCCUAGGAUAUAUAUUGGAGUGGAUGAUUUAACCACAGAAUUGAGAGAUAGAUCAAAGAAGUUUCUGGUUGACUACAUAAUUUCUCCUAAAGAUGGAUAUCAAGGAGGAAAAUAUGGAUCUUUUGGAGGCUAUGAUAUUAUACUGGUUAAGACACAUCUUCCUAUGGACCUUAAUGCACCGAUAAAUGUAUGUAUCCCUGGACCUGAUUAUACCUUUUCCAACCCAAACUUAAUGAUUGGAGGUUAUGGGAGGAAUCGGAGAAUACCUUGUGAAGUAAACGACCUAGGACCUUCUAUUUUUCAAUUCUGCAAAGUGGACAAUAUGUGCAAACUUAAAACCCAGCAGUACCAGCAAGCAAAAUGCAAUGUUCAGUUCACAUACAAUAAUAAGGAAUAUGGAGGAUGUAUUACUGAAGAAGAAACACCAAGUGCAAGAAAUCCAAUCUGUUCUGAUUUUCGAUCAAAGACUCUGUUAACUGAUCAAAAAAUGAGAAGAAUGGAUUUAAACGAAAUCGUAAUUUUGGAACCUUCUAGCUUGGCUGUUCUUACUAAAUGUUAUAGGAUAGAUCCAGGAAAAUAUGGAUGGUGUGGAAUCACAAACAAUGUUAUUGACGGAAAAUUUGAAAAAACUGAGGAUGGUGGCAUUGAAACUGACAAUGGGUGGGGGAUUUGUUCCCAAUCAUGUGACACUGCUAAUGGAACAAUUUCAGGGAAACCUAAGGUGAAGAAAGCUCAGAUUUUAGAUCAGGACUACUGUGACAACAAUUUGAACAUGUUGAGGGGUAAACUUACAGAUCCUUAUACCGUGAAUCCAAAGGUGUAUUGUGUUGCAUACAAUGAAACAUAUAAAACUGCAUUUUUUUUAAAGAUAACGGAAGUUAUGUGAUGCUGGACAAUAAGCCAGAGUAUCACAGUAUGCUAGGUCGAAAGAAUUCCUGGUAUAUUAGAUCUGUUGGUAGCUGUUUAGGAGACUCAGGGGGUCCAC
rnacentral:misc_RNA from 1 species